rnacentral:rRNA from 1 species
AGAGUUUGAUCCUGGCUCAGAAUCAACGCUGGCGGCGCGCUUAACACAUGCAAGUCGCACGAGAAAGGGAGCAAUCCUAAGUAAAGUGGCGCACGGGUGAGUAACACGUGGAUCAUCUACCUUUUAGUGGGGAAUACCUCUGGGAAACCGGAGACAAUACCGCAUAAGCCCGCAAGGGGAAAGCAGCAAUGCGCUGAAAGAGGAGUCCGCGGCCGAUUAGCUAGUUGGCGGGGUAACGGCCCACCAAGGCGAAGAUCGGUAGCCGGCCUGAGAGGGCACACGGCCACACUGGCACUGAAACACGGGCCAGACUCCUACGGGAGGCAGCAGUGGGGAAUCUUGCACAAUGGGCGAAAGCCUGAUGCAGCGACGCCGCGUGAGCGAUGAAGCCCUUCGGGGUGUAAAGCUCUUUCGACGGGAACGAUAAUGACGGUACCCGGAGAAGAAGCUGCGGCUAACUACGUGCCAGCAGCCGCGGUAAUACGUAGGCAGCGAGCGUUGUUCGGAAUUACUGGGCGUAAAGAGUGUGUAGGCGGUGUUCCCCAGUCUGUUGUGAAAUCUCCCGGCUUAACUGGGAGGGUGCAGCGGAAACUAGAAUGCUAGAGGGUGGGAGAGGUAAGCGGAAUUCCUGGUGUAGCGGUGAAAUGCGUAGAUAUCAGGAGGAACACCUGUGGUGUAGACAGCUUACUGGACCACUUCUGACGUUGAGACACGAAAGCGUGGGUAGCAAACAGGAUUAGAUACCCUAGUAGUCC